GCCGCCCUCCGUCCGGGGGGUGGCCAGCGCCCGCCAGAGGACCAUCGAACUCCGGUCAGUGAACGUUGCCGUCUGAAAAACAAUCAAUAAACUAAAACUUUCAACAACGGAUCUCUUGGUUCUGGCAUCGAUGAAGAACGCAGCGAAAUGCGAUAAGUAAUGUGAAUUGCAGAAUUCAGUGAAUCAUCGAAUCUUUGAACGCACAUUGCGCCCCUCGGUAUUCCGAGGGGCAUGCCUGUUCGAGCGUCAUUACAACCCUCAAGCUCUGCUUGGUGUUGGGCACCGCCCUUCCGCGGGCGCGCCUCAAAGACCUCGGCGGUGGCGUCUUGCCUCGAGCGUAGUAGAAAACACCUCGCUUUGGAGCGCACGGCGCCGCCCGCCGGACGAACCUUUUGAACUUUCUCAAGGUUGACCUCG
rnacentral:rRNA from 1 species